rnacentral:rRNA from 1 species
GUAGGUGGCAAGCGUUGUCCGGAAUUAUUGGGCGUAAAGCGCGCGCAGGCGGUCCUUUGAGUCUGAUGUGAAAGCCCACGGCUCAACCGUGGAGGGUCAUUGGAAACUGGGGGACUUGAGUACAGAAGAGGAAAGCGGAAUUCCAAGUGUAGCGGUGAAAUGCGUAGAGAUUUGGAGGAACACCAGUGGCGAAGGCGGCUUUCUGGUCUGUAACUGACGCUGAGGCGCGAAAGCGUGGGGAGCAAACAGGGAUUAGAUACCCUGGUAGUCCACGCCGUAAACGAUGAGUGCUAAGUGUUAGGGGGGUUUCCGCCCCCUUAGUGCUGCAGCUAACGCAUUAAGCACUCCGCCUGGGGAUACGGCCGCAAGGCUG